rnacentral:rRNA from 1 species
GGAACGGAAGCAAUAAUGGUGGCCCUGGCGGUGCUUGUGCCCUGGCUAGCAUGGCUCGUCGUCUCCUUCCUGUCCGUCUACCUCCUCAACCUCCUCACCCACGCGCGCUCCGGCCUCCCGCCAGGCCCGCGCCCGCUGCCGCUCAUCGGCAGCCUCCACCUCCUCGGCGACAGGCCGCACCGCUCCCUCGCACGCCUGGCCAGGACCCAUGGCGCCCCGCUCAUGUCCCUCCGCCUCGGCGCGGUCACCACGGUGGUCGCCUCCUCCCCCGCCAUGGCCCGGGAGAUCCUGCAGCGGCACGACGCCACGUUCGCCACCCGGUCCGUGCCGGACGCCACCGGCAUGCACGCGGCGGGCUCCGUGCCCUGGCUGCCCCCCGUGCCGCGGUGGCGCGCGCUCCGCAAGAUGAUGGCCACGGAGCUCUUCGCGCCGCACCGCCUCGACGCGCUCCACCACCUCCGGAGCGAGAAGGUGGGCGAGCUCAUGGACCACGUCGCGCGGCUGGCGCGCGACGGCAAGCCGGUGAACGUGGGGCGCGUGGCCUUCACGACCAGCCUGAACCUGCUCUCCCGCACCAUCUUCUCCCACGACCUCACGAGCCUCGACGACGACAACCGCUCCGGAGAGUUCCAGGAGGUGGUGACGGGCAUCAUGGAGGCCGUGGGGACCCCCAACGUGUCGGACUUCUUCCCGGUGCUCGCGCCGGCCGACAUACAGGGCACGCGCCGGCGGCUGGCCAAGCUGUUCUCCUGCCUGCACGUGGUUUUCGACGCCGAGGUGGACGAGCGACUGCUCGGCCGCGACGCCGGCCAGCCCAGGAAGAACGAUUUUCUCGACGUGCUGCUCGACGUGGCGGCGCGUGAGGAUGGCAAGGACCUGCUCGACCGCCAGACGCUACGCUCACUUUUCACGGAUUUGUUUGCCGCCGGCAGUGACACAAGCUCUAGCACAGUGGAAUGGGCAAUGACUGAGCUUCUCCAAAAUCCAUCAUCAUUAGCUAAGGCUUGCAAUGAGCUUGGAGAAGUUAUCGGCCCAAGAAGAAAAAUUGAAGAAGCUGACAUUGUUCGGUUGCCCUAUAUUCAAGCUAUCAUAAAAGAGACUUUUCGACUCCAUCCUCCUGCUCCACUCUUGUUGCCACGCCAACCUGAGGCAACACUGAAAAUAGCAGGCUACACAAUACCAAAAGGUUCACGUGUUUUCAUAAACGUAUGGGCGAUAGGUCGAGAUAAAGAUGUAUGGCAUGAACCUGAGAAAUUUAUGCCGGAAAGGUUCCUAGGUUCCACAGUUGACUUUAGAGGUGCGGAUUUUGAGCUCCUUCCAUUUGGUGUCGGAUGUCUGAUCUGCCCUGGGAUGACACUGGCAACUAGGAUGGUGCAUUUGAUCCUCGCUUCAUUGUUACAUCAGUUUAAGUGGAGUCUCCCUGUUGAGCUGGAAAGUGAUGGGAUUGACAUGGAAGAUAAGUUUGGCCUCACACUUACUAAGGUUGUUCCCCUUUGUAUUGCAGCAACACCGGUUUGA